rnacentral:rRNA from 1 species
UACGUAGGGGGCAAGCGUUGUCCGGAAUCAUUGGGCGUAAAGCGCGUGCAGGCGGCUCGAUAAGUCUGCUGUGAAAGUCCAGGGCUCAACCCUGGGAUGCCGGUGGAUACUGUCGAGCUCGAGUCCGGAAGAGGAGUGUGGAAUUCCUGGUGUAGCGGUGAAAUGCGCAGAUAUCAGGAGGAACACCAAUGGCGAAGGCAGCACUCUGGGACGUGACUGACGCUGAGACGCGAAAGCGUGGGGAGCAAACAGG